rnacentral:rRNA from 1 species
CAGUGUUUGGCACCUCGAUGUCGGCUCAUCUCAUCCUGGGGCUGGAGCAGGUCCCAAGGGUACGGCUGUUCGCCGUUUAAAGAGGUACGUGAGCUGGGUUUAGAACGUCGUGAGACAGUUCGGUCCCUAUCUUCCGUGGGUGUAGGAUACUUGAGAGGAGUUGCCCCUAGUACGAGAGGACCGGGGUGAACGAUCCACUGGUGGACCUGUUGUUGCGCCAGCAGCAGUGCAGGGUAGCUAUG